rnacentral:rRNA from 1 species
GGGCCCGCACAAGCGGUGGAGCAUGUGGUUUAAUUCGAUGAUACGCGAGGAACCUUACCAGGGCUUAAAUGUAGUGGGACAGGUCUAGAGAUAGACCCUUCUUCGGACUCAUUACAAGGUGCUGCAUGGUUGUCGUCAGCUCGUGCCGUGAGGUGUCAGGUUAAGUCCUAUAACGAGCGCAACCCCUAUCGUUAGUUGCCAGCGGGUCAUGCCGGGAACUCUAGCGAAACUGCCGGUGCAAACCGAGAGGAAGGUGGGGAUGACGUCAAAUCAUCACGGCCCUUACGUCCUGGGCCACACACGUGCUACAAUGGCCGGUACAGAGAGCAGCCACUACGCGAGUAGGAGCGAAUCUACAAAACCGGUCUCAGUUCGGAUCGCAGUCUGCAACUCGACUGCGUGAAGCUGGAAUCGCUAGUAA